GUUGUCGUCAGCUCGUGUCGUGAGAUGUUGGGUUAAGUCCCGCAACGAGCGCAACCCUUAAGCUUAGUUGCCAUCAUUAAGUUGGGCACUCUAAGUUGACUGCCGGUGACAAACCGGAGGAAGGUGGGGAUGACGUCAAAUCAUCAUGCCCCUUAUGAUUUGGGCUACACACGUGCUACAAUGGACAAUACAAAGGGCAGCGAAACCGCGAGGUCAAGCAAAUCCCAUAAAGUUGUUCUCAGUUCGGAUUGUAGUCUGCAACUCGACUACAUGAAGCUGGAAUCGCUAGUAAUCGUAGAUCAGCAUGCUACGGUGAAUACGUUCCCGGGUCUUGUACACACCGCCCGUCACACCACGAGAGUUUGUAACACCCGAAGCCGGUGGAGUAACCUUUUAGGAGCUAGCCGUCGAAGGUGGGACAAAUGAUUGGGGUGAAGUCGUA
rnacentral:rRNA from 1 species